GGGGUGUGCUCAGAGCAGGGGGCCCGAAGCAGUGGCCCCACGGUUCGCAACACACACCCGACAGGAAUCCAGGGGUCAUUGUGACAAGGGGCACAAAGCUGUGGCCUUACCGUGGACAAACCCCCUACGUGU